UCUGAUGGUACUUUGCAAAGCUCAGGGAGA
rnacentral:piRNA from 1 species